rnacentral:rRNA from 1 species
ACGGGUGAGUAACACGUGGGAACGUACCUUUUGGUUCGGAACAACACAGGGAAACUUGUGCUAAUACCGGAUAAGCCCUUACGGGGAAAGAUUUAUCGCCGAAAGAUCGGCCCGCGUCUGAUUAGCUAGUUGGUAGGGUAACGGCCUACCAAGGCGACGAUCAGUAGCUGGUCUGAGAGGAUGAUCAGCCACAUUGGGACUGAGACACGGCCCAAACUCCUACGGGAGGCAGCAGUGGGGAAUAUUGGACAAUGGGGGCAACCCUGAUCCAGCCAUGCCGCGUGAGUGAUGAAGGCCCUAGGGUUGUAAAGCUCUUUUGUGCGGGAAGAUAAUGACGGUACCGCAAGAAUAAGCCCCGGCUAACUUCGUGCCAGCAGCCGCGGUAAUACGAAGGGGGCUAGCGUUGCUCGGAAUCACUGGGCGUAAAGGGUGCGUAGGCGGGUUUUUAAGUCAGAGGUGAAAUCCUGGAGCUCAACUCCAGAACUGCCUUUGAUACUGGGAAUCUUGAGUAUGGAAGAGGUGAGUGGAACUGCGAGUGUAGAGGUGAAAUUCGUAGA